AAAAAGGGAAGGCCAGGCUAGACCAUGCCAGGCCAGACCUGGGCAUGCAAGAUAAUGCAAGGCAACACCGGGACUGGUUAGUGCAGUCCAGACCAGGCAAGGCAAGGAUAGGCCAGACCAGGCCAGGCAAGGAAAGGCAAUGCAAGGCAAGGCAAGGCAAGGCCAGGCAAGCCAAGGCCAGACUAAACCAGGCCCAGCAAUGCAAGGCAAGGAAAGGUAAGGCAAG
rnacentral:lncRNA from 1 species